rnacentral:RNase_P_RNA from 1 species
GGAGCAGGCCGGACGGUCGCCUCUCUGACCAGAGGAGGAAAGUCCGAACACCGUAGGGCAGCGAGCCGGAUAACGUCCGGGCACCGGUUCAGGCCGGUGACGACAAGUGCAGCAGAGAACAGACCAGCCUCUGAGAAGGGGUGAUGGGUGAAACGGUGGGGUAAGAGCCCACCAGCUCGGCUGGUAACAGUUGAGGCUAGGCAAACUCCUCGUGGUGCAAGACCAAAUAGGGAAACGCUUCUUGAGUAGCCCGCUCAAGUCUUCGCUUCGGCGAAGCGGCGUUUCCGGGUAGGUCGCUCGAGCCGUCGGGUAACCGGCGGCCUAGAUGAAUGAUCGUCACUCAUUUCGGUGAGUACAAAACUCGGCUUACAGGCCUGCUCCUUUA